rnacentral:tRNA from 2 species
UAUAAGGUCAGGAUAG